AGUUCGAUGAAGGCGGAUAAAAGCUGGAGAGAGAGUGUGUGGGGGGCAGGGGGAGGACAGUUUGUCGCCAUAACUGUUAGUUGUCAUCGGGGCUUUGCCACCGAGGGGGAUACUUUGAGGGUGAGUGAAGAAUAAGAACGGAGAAGAGCUGCAGGCAAUUGCAACAUCGAGACUGCUGAAAGAAUGUACUUCAAUUCGGUGAAGAUUAGUCUGCAGGAAUAAAAGCAAUGAGAGACGUCUGGAAUGGAUAGGACUUGAACCUGGAAAUGUGUCAAAUGAAGGUGAAGCCUAACUGCAGAGAGCGGGGGAGUUGAGGUAAUUGCAUACCCUCAAAUUCAGGAGAGUAGACACUAGAAACUUAUUAGCAUUAUUUAGAGUUGCACAUGGCCAUCACAUCACCACCCUUAAAAUGUCAUUAAAUUAAUAGCAUUGUUCUUGAAUCUUUUGUUAAUAA